rnacentral:lncRNA from 1 species
UUUUGAAGAUCAGGGGAAUUAGAGAGAGGAGCUUCAUGCUUCGGGUCGGGAAAGGAAAGACAUAGAAUUUGGAUUUUUCUUCUUCGUGGAGUUUUGGGAAGACUGAGGCACUCGCUGCUGAAGUUAGUAUUGUAAUGGUGAAUCGGGAUUUUUAAAUGAAGUGGGUUUGAAUACUCUUGACUGUUUUGUAAAAUCGAGUUACGUCUGUGAUUGAAGGAUUAAAGGGGUGUCUAUAGGAUUGAGUAUGCGGAGUGAAUGAAAUUUAUUGGGUUAAU